AGACACAGACACAGACAGACAGACAGACAGAGAACGAGACAGACAGACAGACAGACAGAGACAGAAAGAGACAGACAGAGACAGACAGACACAGACACACAGACACACAGACACACACACAGAAAGACACAGACACAGACAGACACACAGAGACAGACAGACAGACACAGACACAGACACAGACACAGACAGACAGAGACAGACAGACAGACAGACAGAUAGACAGACACACACAGACAGACAGACAGACAGACAGACAGACAGGCAGAUAGGCAGACACAGACAGACAGACAGACAGGCGUCGACACUGUUCUCAAAUCAUGUCUAUAACACUUCCACACAGAUUCCACAGAAUAGCUGUCUGUUAUACAUUACAUCUAAUGUUAGGUUGCCAGAGUGUUCUGACCUUCAUGAAGGGCUUGACGUUCUCCUCUUCUCGCAGGAAGUCCUUGUACAGCGUGCUCCACUGAGACACCAGAUGCAGUACUUUCCUCUUCCUGUAGAGGGCCUCCUUUCCCUCCUCCUUCCCCCGGCAGCGCUUCGUACAGUAGUGUCCCAGCAGCGCCUGGCAGAGCUCACUGGUGGACAUGAACACUAGAUACGUCAGCAGGAAGUCAUCCAGAAGCAUUUCUGCAAGAAAACAUCAGCAGAUAUGAACACACACAAACACAAUUCAUCACACAGUUCACUCUCCUGCAAGGCAUGUUUAAUGAGAGCUUUAAUGAACCUCGUUAACGCCAGACUCAUUAGUGCUGUUUGAUCAGGCAAGUGUCACUAUUAUUGAGUUAAACAAGAUCCUCACGACAAGAACUCAACUAUGGCACAUAAUUGAAUUGAAGAGUCCAGAUUUUCACCUGGUAGACAAUGAAUGUGAACGUCCAACAUAGACCAAAACAUCUGGUCGAACCCACAACAGUCUCCUAACGGAUAUGAAUAUGCAAAUCAGAUCCUAAAUGGCAUUAGUAAAACCUUUUCUGGUUCAUCAGCUGGCUUUUGUAAAUAAUCUCACUCCAAACUAGAAAUUAAAAAUAUUUAAUAUUUAUUAUAAAUACUAUAUACAUAUAAAAAGAAAGAACUAGUCUUUUGACAAAUAUUUUAAAAUAUUGUAAUUAAUUUAUUUUUAAAUAUAGAUAUAUAACUUACAACAUAUUUAAAUAUACAUUUAUAUUUUUUAAUAUAUAUUACUCUAAAAUUNCAAAAUGCAUUUAAUUUACUGAAGAUUAUUUAAGGUUUAUUUGGACAUUUUUUAUGUUUUUUUUUUUUUUUCGUUUCUACAGUCAGUCUGCAGCACCCACGGAAGCAAAAGCCAUUCUCAUUCAAAGUCCUAAUGAUUUAAUUUACACCUCUUUCUUCUAAAAAUACCUUGGGCUUCUCUGAAGGGCCGGGUUUCCCGCUUAGAAACAGCAUCACGAGAAGAUUUCUCAUGCACAAUAGAGAGUCUCUGAACAAUUAUCACCGAACACCAACGCCAUUUGAACUCUAACACUGACUCACAGUUAUUCUGACAUGUUACAUCAAUACUGCACUGCAUUCAGCAUUUGAACACAACGGUGUAAUAUCAGUAUGAGAAGGCAGCGGGCGACUGUGGGAGUGUCUAAUGAGAAAUGAGCUCAAAAACACAUACAUCUGAGAAAACAGUGAGACUGCUGGCCUUUAAAUAAACGCAAUAAGUCUUUUUUUCCUUUUGUUGGU
ensembl:lncRNA